UUGCUCGCCGGGGCUCAGUCCUCUCCUGCCUGUGGUCCUGACCUGCCCUCCAUGAGCAAGAGAAUCUGGACUGGUUGGGGGUGUCCUGUCCAAGUGGACCACAGGACUCCACGGUUUUCAGUACAACA